AUCACAAAAUGAAUUUUGUUGACCCACUUUCAGGUGCUCACACAAACAAGAUCGAAGCUUCUUGGGGCGCGGCAAAGGCAACUUUGCCACGCUACCACAGGAAGAAAGCUUUCUUUCCUGGCUAUUUAUCAAAGUAUGUAUUCAUGAAAUCAUGCAAAUUGAGGAAAGUUGACUGCUUUACUGAGUUCUGUAAGGAAGCAGGAAAUUUAUAUGACCCUGCAAAGCCAAAAGAUGGGGAAACCGAUGAUACUGAUGAAACUGACGAUUUGGAUUUGGAUGAUAUGAACUGAUUAGUAUAAGAACAAAAAUUGUGGAGAACAACCAAAAUUUAAGGCGUUUUAUAACAGGUUUCCAGUAACACAGAGUAGCCUAUUCAUUUCAAUUUUACAAUCAUAAUAUUGAUCAAAAUCUUCAUUAUCAUCAGUCAUCGGUUUCUCCUUUGGGGUCAUAUCUAGAUCCUGCUUCGUUGCAUAAAACAGUAGAGCACUUUCCCUAUCUACAAAAUGCAUGAUUUUGUUGAUAUAUAUUUUGACAAAUAGUUAAUGUGGAAGCCUCUUACUUCAAACAAUCAUAUUCUUCCCAUAAGACCAACACCUGUUCCACCUUCAACACAAAUCUGAACCAUCCUUAAAGCCACAUGAUGCUCCUCCCUCCCAUUCUUGAAACCCUUUCUCAUAAUAAUAGGCUAUAAUUCGGUGCUUUAUGCUUAUAAAUUCAAAAUUUUUAGCUCAUAUAUAUUUUGGACAAAAAUUGAACAUAAACUUUCAACAUUAAAUAGAUAGGCUAACCAUUUUUUCGAAAAUGUUAUUUAUUAUCAAAAUUAGCAAAUAGUAGGCCUAUAGUGUUGGGCUAAGCCUUUUGUUCUUUCCCAAUCAUAUUCAUAUGAUUGUAAUUUCAUCCAGAAAUAAAUAAACAAUGUUAUCCCUCCCCCUAUUAGCAUUUAUAUUUUCUAUAUUAAAAUUCAAUUCAAAUUUACUCUCGUUGAUUUGAACCAAUUCCAUUUUAAUUAUCACAAAAUAAUCAAAUCAUUACUCUUGGUCCAUUGUUUUCUUAAUAUUUAAAACUAUUUUAUCAUCAAAUUCAAAAAUGUUAGUAUUCUUGGAUCAAAAUUUUAAUUUAAAUAUAACAUAGAAGUACCGUAACCUUAUAGUUCUGCUAUAUAUCAAAAAUACAAAUAGAAAUAGCACAUCUUAACCCUAGUUUUUCCUUUAAUAUUAUAUCUCUUGUUAUUCUUUUGGUUGCAACAAUUAAUAAAUAAAAACAGUCCCCUCAAAAGUCACCUCCUGACAGCUAGAACUUACAGUAACUAACAGACUAUGAUAAUUUUGUAAUUCCAAUUUCUCACUAAUCAAGAUUCAUAGGCUUCAUUUUUUAUCCACAAAUUUAACAUUUUCCACAACGUGAGGUCCUUUUAAAGAAAAUAUUGAAACAAGUUCCAAGAAUAGCCACAUCUUUCUGAAUCCAAGUUCUUACCAGUAGUCCACUAUUUCUCAUCAAUUAGUCUACCAUUCAGUUUAUCAAAUUAUGUUUAUAAAUUUAUUACCAAUAGUCUACCAUUUCUAUUCUGCUCUGUUCAAUAUAUUCCAUUUCAAUGUUAUUUUACAUUCUGCCAGCAUGCUGAAGAAAUAAUCCUGUUUUCAACAAUCCAACAAUUCAUGCACUUUUUGAUCAACGUUUUCAAUUACUCCACUUACAAAAAAUAUUCACCAAAAAAACUCAAGUAACCAGUCAAAUUCUACUGUUGAUAAGUUGUGAUUUUAAAAGUGAGGUGAUCACAAGCGAUAACAUGAUUGUUAUCAAGAUAAAACAGUAGCUCUGCUCUCCGAUCCUCCUUCUAUCCUGAACCACAGUAUACAUACAGUACGGAAACUUGGCUAUACCCUGACGCCAAAAUCCGCCAUCUUGUUAGGAAGCGCCGCAUUGUAAUAGUAUUGAUGGUAGGUUCGGAUCACUUUAAUGAUCCAGAUCA